UUUUAUACUCUCGCAACAAAGUUGCUAAGGAGAGUAUUAUAGUUUUGUUCAUAUAACGGUUGUUUGUAAGUCCUAAAACUAAAAGAGUCAGAUAUAGGGUUAUAUAUACCAAAGUGAUCAGGGUGACGAGUAGAGUUGAAAUCCGGAUGUCUGUCUGUCCGUCCGUCCGUCUGUGCAAGCUGUAACUUGAGUAAAAAUUGAGAUAUCAUGAUGAAACUUGGUACACGUAUUUCUUGGCUCCAUAAGAAGGUUAAGUUCGAAGAUGGGCAAAAUCGGCCCACUGCCACGCCCACAAAAUGGCGGAAACCGAAAACCUAUAAAGUGUCAUAACUAAGCCAUAAAUAAAGAUAUUAAAGUGAAAUUUGGCACAAAGGAUCGCAUUAGGGAGGGGCAUAUUUGGACGUAAUUUUUUUGGAAAAGUGGGCGUGGCCCCGCCCCCUACUAAGUUUUUUGUACAUAUCUCGGAAACUACUAUAGCUAUGUCAACCAAACUCUAUAGAGUCGUUUCUUUCAGGCAUUU